rnacentral:rRNA from 1 species
UACGUAGGUGGCAAGCGUUGUCCGGAAUUAUUGGGCGUAAAGCGCGCGCAGGCGGCCUCUUAAGUCUGAUGUGAAAGCCCCCGGCUCAACCGGGGGAGGGCCAUUGGAAACUGGGAGGCUUGAGUAUAGGAGAGAAGAGUGGAAUUCCACGUGUAGCGGUGAAAUGCGUAGAGAUGUGGAGGAACACCAGUGGCGAAGGCGACUCUUUGGCCUAUAACUGACGCUGAGGUGCGAAAGCGUGGGGAGCAAACAGG